rnacentral:rRNA from 1 species
AUUGAACGCUGGCGGCAGGCCUAACACAUGCAAGUCGAACGAGUGGCGGACGGGUGAGUAAUGUCUGGGAAACUGCCUGAUGGAGGGGGAACACUACUGGAAACGGUAGCUAAUACCGCAUACCCUCAGAUGUGCCCAGAUGGGAGUAGCUUGUUGGUGGGGUAACGGCUCACAAAGGCGACGAUCCCUAGCUGGUCUGAGAGGAUGACCAGCCACACUGGCACUGAGACACGGUCCAGACUCCUACGGGAGGCAGCAGGGGGGAAUCUUGCACAAUGGGCGCAAGCCUGAUGCAGCCAUGCCGCGUGUAUGAAGAAGGCUUUCGGGUUGUAAAGUACUUUCAGCGGGGAGGCGUUACCCACAGAAGAAGCACCGGCUAACUCCGUGCCAGCAGCCGCGGUAAUAC